rnacentral:rRNA from 1 species
GAUGAACGCUGGCGGCGUGCCUAAUACAUGCAAGUCGAGCGAACAGAUGAGGAGCUUGCUCCUCUGACGUUAGCGGCGGACGGGUGAGUAACACGUGGAUAACCUACCUGUAAGACUGGGAUAACUUCGGGAAACCGGAGCUAAUACUGGAUAAUAUAUUGAACCGCAUGGUUCAAUAGUGAAAGACGGUUUUGCUGUCACUUAUAGAUGGAUCCGCGCCGCAUUGGCUAGUUGGUAAGGUAACGGCUUACCAAGGCAACGAUGCGUAGCCGACCUGAGAGGGUGAUCGGCCACACUGGAACUGAGACACGGUCCAGACUCCUACGGGAGGCAGCAGUAGGGAAUCUUCCGCAAUGGGCGAAAGCCUGACGGAGCAACGCCGCGUGAGUGAUGAAGGUCUUCGGAUCGUAAAACUCUGUUAUUAGGGAAGAACAAAUGUGUAAGUAACUAUGCACGUCUUGACGGUACCUAAUCAGAAAGCCACGGCUAACUACGUG